rnacentral:lncRNA from 1 species
GCCAGGGGCAGGCUUACAUUGUCCAAAUUAGGCUACCAGGAGCCCAGACCUGUUUAAAACAAAAUCUGUUCUUCUUCACUUACAUUCUCCAUCUUGGUGAAUAAAUUGUUUGACAGAUUAGUUCAAGACACCAGAAAACAUUGGUUUUUUUUUCAUCAAUUUCCCCAUACAGAAGGCACAGGAGAGAAAAGAAUAGGCCUUUUUCCUUCAAGGUAGUAUAGGGACAAUACUUCUGUAACAGGGAUAAUAUUUUACAAAUAUUAAACUAGUACAUUGAAGCCCACCCUUAAACCACAUUUUCUUGCAAGGUUCCACCCCCGAAGACUGAAGCGGGAGGCACAUGGCCCCAGGGAAGCAGCAGAUAAAUAUUGCCUAGAACCAUCUACAAUGCAAACCACAGCAAAACAGUGGCAGGAUUGUCAAGCAUGGCCAGAGAGAAAAUGAUUCUCCAAAUUCCUUUAUGCUGCCCUCUAACAUCUCAAGGGGCAGCCUUUGCCACUCGAUCAGAGUUCUACUUUAUGCCUGAGGAGAAGCAGGCCACGCAGAGGAGAAGUGGGAGGCCCAAAGCCCACUCUUCUGUUCCCAGUGGAUUCUGGGAGGAGGGAGGAAGAAGCAGGGGACACAGACAGUCAGAAAUGCCUCCUUUCCCCUGUUUGAACGUCUACCAGAGUGAGGAGGUGAGAAUCUACAAAGGAAGAUCUAAUGAGUUACAGAGAAAGAAGGAAGCCUCCACGACCGGAAUGCAUCUGGACACGUCUGGCACACUGGCAUGGUGGGCUGGCUGGACAAGUGUUUGGCUGAGAGCUCACAGCUCCUCCCACAAAGAGAUGGAGUCCACUUCCUCACCGAGAAUCUGGGUUGACGUCGUAACUUGCUUUGGCCAAUAGAAUGUGGCAUUAAGUCAUACUGUGCCUUUUCAGAGCCUGGGCCUCAAGAAGCCUUGCACUCUUCUGCUCUUUCUCCUG